AUUGAACGCUGGCGGCAUGCUUUACACAUGCAAGUCGAACGGUAACACGCCUUCGGGUGCUGACGCGUGGCUGGCGGGUGAGUAAUUCAUCGGUACGUGCCCAGCGGGGGGGGUUAACUCAGCGAGAGCUGUGCUAAUACCUCACGUGAUCUGUGGACGCAAGCGGGGGGCCAGGCAGCAAGGUUUGGCCUCGCGCCUUUGGCGCGGCCGAUGUCGGAUUAGGUAGUUGGUGGGGUAAAGGCCUACCAAGCCGACGAUCUGUAGCUGGUCUGAGAGGACGACCAGCCACACUGGGACUGAGACACGGCCCAGACUCCUACGGGAGGCAGCAGUGGGGAAUUUUGGACAAUGGGCGCAAGCCUGAUCCAGCAAUGCCGCGUGCGGGAAGAAGUCCUUCGGGUUGUAAACCGCUUUUGUACGGAACGAAAUGCUUCUGCCUAAUACCUGGGGCGGAUGACGGUACCGGAAGAAUAAGCACCGGCUAACUACGUG
rnacentral:rRNA from 1 species